UCACGGAGCCUCAGACAAACAAUCCUUGUGAAAAAACAAAUGUCCUUCCUCAGUCUCAUGGGUUGUCUUGUCCCCAAGCACCCCCACUGGCUGGCGCAUGCUGGCCCUCCACCAAUGGCGCCCCUCAAGUGACUGGGAAGAAAGGCCUACCUCAUGGGUCCCAGUCUCCAGGCAGGGCAGACCUUCUCUCCACAUGGAGCUACCUCCUUUGGAUGGGGAUGGCACAGGGGUCUAUUCAAAAAGAGAGUUGACUUGAAAAUGUGAGGGAGUCUCCAGCCACCAGUAACCAUCCUCGGUGUCCGACCAGAAAAAUCUAAAACCACACGCAGCAGCACUGAGCUGUAUUCACAAGACUUCCUUUCUAGUAAAUGCAACACUUCCUCCUGCUCUCAGACGUGAGCCUCAGAUGCCAAAAUGCAGAUGUGUGGAUGGUAGACGCGUUGCUAAGCAGAAAAGACUAGCAAGUCUGUCCGGCAAAUGAGAUCGUACAGUGGAGGGCAUCUGCUUUGUGGCCUCCACUGGGAUGAGGCUGUCCUGUGCUCCCAUGUCCUGUGUCCCCUGCUCCUCGGGCAGGUGGAAGCUGGUGCCUCUCACCAGGCAUGUGGAAAGGGUCCUCGUGGGUUAAAGCAUAAAGGCUUUGAGGAAAAACGCAGAAAGACUCAUUAAAACGGGAGGCCUACCCCUGGAAAGACGCAUGCUGAGGCCUUGUUCCCGCCCCAGCUGCCUGCGGUUCUCAUGCUGGGGGCUGUGAGGACCCCUGGGCCAGCCUGAGCCACGGAUGACCACCUUCUACUGCUUUGCGGGGCGCUAAGAGGACGCCGACCUCAACCCAGAGCCAGGGAGGGAAAAAUCUCAAACAUUUAAGACUGGGUUCAAAAGCCCCCUGGACAUUUUCUGUCUGCCUUGCCCCCCACCCCCCCUUCGCAUCUGGUUCGGGGCUGUGAAUCAGAAUUCCGAAUCUGUGCUGCCCAGAGGGGACAGGCACAGCAGAGAGGAAACACCCAAAUGCAA